AUUUAAUACUAAUUCAUUGCCUAUCCAACGUUCAUGACAAAUUAGAUUGAUAAAUCUAACAUCGAAGAGUUUAUUUUAGAGUAUUACCCUAGACGAUUGCUCGCCAGGCGGUGCUAAUACCACAUAGAAGUUAGCGGUCGACUUAUGUGAACUAACGUAAUACAUGGGACUUUCCACGGCAAAUCAGAUACCAUUCUGCUUCUGCAUCUCUGAUAUUUUUGAUCAUGUUUAAUGUUAUAGUACGCAUUGAGAAAGAUGCACAUAACUUGGCGACAAAUGGGCCGGUUGGGCCAUUUGUUUUAAAUUUUUCUUUUUCACAAUUCUGUUGAAGAUUAAAAUCAAAAAGAGAUACAAACCCGUUUUUAGAUGCAAUUCUCCAAUUUUGAUUAUAAAAUUUUGGUUUUCAAGAAACACCUAGUGAUCAAUUUUCUUGAAUAUUUUUUUUUUUAAGUAACUUUCACUCACUCCACAACUCUUAAGUCUAGUCCCUUAAUGGGCAAGUGAUGGUAUCUAUUUUUUUUUAAUUUGUAAAGUUUCAUGUUCAAUAAGAGGGAUAUUUUUUUUUUCGUUUCUAGACACACUUUGCUAUUGUUAAAACUUUGCUGAGUGAAUGCGGAGUGGAUAAUUUUUCAUUCAUUUAGGUUCUUUGGAGUAAAUUUCACUCCAAAAAGGAGUUUCGGAAAAUAAUGAUUAUAAAAAAAAAAUCAUCAAUGCAUAGUGAGCUUAGGUCUGUGAUAUUUUAAUAUUCAUAUUGCGUACAUAAAUAAUUUAGAGCUCCCUUUUCAUAUAUUCCCGUGUUAUGAUUUUUAAAAAUUAUAAGCAGCAAAUAAUAAAAUUUUUAAAACUAUAAUUCCACUGAGUGACAAGCAGUCAUAUGACUUACAUCAACCAUAUCACGAGAUAAUAUUUCAUAUUGUACCGAAAAAUAAAGUAGUCCCAUAAACACUGUGUCAUUAUAGCUAUUCGAUAAAUGAAUAUUUUCGUUAUGUAAUAUGUGUGGGUCAUUCUACAAUAAAUGGU